CGUAAACAACCUGCCUUAAGGAUGGGGAUAACAGACGGAAACGACUGCUAAUACCGAAUACGUUCUAAGCAUCGCAUGGUGCAUAGAAGAAAGGGUGGCCUCUACAAGAAAGCUAUCGCCUUAAGAGGGGUUUGCGACUGAUUAGGUAGUUGGUGAGGUAACGGCUCACCAAGCCGACGAUCAGUAGCCGGUCUGAGAGGAUGAACGGCCACACUGGGACUGAGACACGGCCCAG
rnacentral:rRNA from 1 species